rnacentral:rRNA from 1 species
AGAGUUUGAUCCUGGCUCAGGAUGAACGCUAGCUACAGGCUUAACACAUGCAAGUCGCGGGGCAGCAUGGGGGUUGCUUGCAACCCCUGAUGGCGACCGGCGCACGGGUGAGUAACGCGUAUCCAACCUGCCCUUCACCACGGGAUAACCCGGCGAAAGUCGGACUAAUACCGUAUGUUGUCCAUUGACGGCAUCCGAUUUGGACGAAAGGCUUAGCGGUGAGGGAUGGGGAUGCGUCCGAUUAGCUUGACGGCGGGGUAACGGCCCACCGUGGCUACGAUCGGUAGGGGUUCUGAGAGGAAGGUCCCCCACACUGGAACUGAGACACGGUCCAGACUCCUACGGGAGGCAGCAGUGAGGAAUAUUGGUCAAUGGGCGGAAGCCUGAACCAGCCAAGUAGCGUGCAGGAUGACGGCCCUAUGGGUUGUAAACUGCUUUUAUGCGGGGAUAAAGGAGCCCACGUGUGGGUUUUUGCAGGUACCGCAUGAAUAAGGACCGGCUAAUUCCGUGCCAGCAGCCGCGGUAAUACGGAAGGUCCGGGCGUUAUCCGGAUUUAUUGGGUUUAAAGGGAGCGUAGGCCGCCCCUUAAGCGUGUUGUGAAAUGCGGGUGCUCAACAUCCGACUUGCAGCGCGAACUGGGGGGCUUGAGUGCGCCGAAAGUAGGCGGAAUUCGUGGUGUAGCGGUGAAAUGCUUAGAUAUCACGAAGAACUCCGAUUGCGAAGGCAGCUUACUGUAGCGCAACUGACGCUGAUGCUCGAAAGCGUGGGUAUCGAACAGGAUUAGAUACCCUGGUAGUCCACGCGGUAAACGAUGGAUGCUCGUUGUCGGCCUUUAUGGUCGGUGACCAAGCGAAAGCGUUAAGCAUCCCACCUGGGGAGUACGCCGGCAACGGUGAAACUCAAAGGAAUUGACGGGGGCCCG